GACGAACGCUGGCGGCGUGCUUAACACAUGCAAGUCGAACGGAAAGGCCCUGCUUUUGUGGGGUGCUCGAGUGGCGAACGGGUGAGUAACACGUGAGUAACCUGCCCUUGACUUUGGGAUAACUUCAGGAAACUGGGGCUAAUACCGGGUAGGAGCUCCUGCUGCAUGGUGGGGGUUGGAAAGUUUCGGCGGUUGGGGAUGGACUCGCGGCUUAUCAGCUUGUUGGUGGGGUAGUGGCUUACCAAGGCUUUGACGGGUAGCCGGCCUGAGAGGGUGACCGGCCACAUUGGGACUGAGAUACGGCCCAGACUCCUACGGGAGGCAGCAGUGGGGAAUAUUGCACAAUGGGCGGAAGCCUGAUGCAGCGACGCCGCGUGCGGGAUGACGGCCUUCGGGUUGUAAACCGCUUUCGCCUGUGACGAAGCGUGAGUGACGGUAAUGGGUAAAGAAGCACCGGCUAACUACGUGCCAGCAGCCGCGGUGAUACGUAGGGUGCGAGCGUUGUCCGGAUUUAUUGGGCGUAAAGGGCUCGUAGGUGGUUGAUCGCGUCGGAAGUGUAAUCUUGGGGCUUAACCCUGAGCGUGCUUUCGAUACGGGUUGACUUGAGGAAGGUAGGGGAGAAUGGAAUUCCUGGUGGAGCGGUGGAAUGCGCAGAUAUCAGGAGGAACACCAGUGGCGAAGGCGGUUCUCUGGGCCUUUCCUGACGCUGAGGAGCGAAAGCGUGGGGAGCGAACAGGCUUAGAUACCCUGGUAGUCCACGCUGUAAACGGUGGGUACUAGGUGUGGGGUCCAUUCCACGGGUUCCGUGCCGUAGCUAACGCUUUAAGUACCCCGUCUGGGGAGUACGGCCGCAAGGCUAAAACUCAAAGGAAUUGACGGGGCCCCGCACAAGCGGCGGAGCAUGCGGAUUAAUUCGAUGCAACGCGUAGAACCUUACCUGGGUUUGACAUGAAUCGGGAGUGCUCAGAGAUGGGUGUGCCUCUUUUGGGGUCGGUUCACAGGUGGUGCAUGGCUGUCGUCAGCUCGUGUCGUGAGAUGUUGGGUUAAGUCCCGCAACGAGCGCAACCCUUGUUCACUGUUGCCAGCACGUUAUGGUGGGGACUCAGUGGAGACCGCCGGGGUCAACUCGGAGGAAGGUGGGGAUGACGUCAAGUCAUCAUGCCCCUUAUGUCCAGGGCUUCACGCAUGCUACAAUGGCUGGUACAGAGAGUGGCGAGCCUGUGAGGGUGAGCGGAUCUCGGAAAGCCGGUCUCAGUUCGGAUUGGGGUCUGCAACUCGACCUCAUGAAGUCGGAGUCGCUAGUAAUCGCAGAUCAGCAACGCUGCGGUGAAUACGUUCCCGGG
rnacentral:rRNA from 1 species